AGUGAACGCUGGCGGUAGGCCUAACACAUGCAAGUCGAACGGCAGCACAGUAAGAGCUUGCUCUUACGGGUGGCGAGUGGCGGACGGGUGAGGAAUACAUCUGAAUCUACUUUUUCGUGGGGGAUAACGUAGGGAAACUUACGCUAAUACCGCAUACGACCUACGGGUGAAAGCAGGGGGUCUUCGGACCUUGCGCGAUUGAAUGAGCCGAUGUCGGAUUAGCUAGUUGGCGGGGUAAAGGCCCACCAAGGCGACGAUCCGUAGCUGGUCUGAGAGGAUGAUCAGCCACACUGGAACUGAGACACGGUCCAGACUCCUACGGGAGGCAGCAGUGGGGAAUAUUGGACAAUGGGCGCAAGCCUGAUCCAGCCAUACCGCGUGGGUGAAGAAGGCCUUCGGGUUGUAAAGCCCUUUUGUUGGGAAAGAAAAGCAGCAGGUUAAUACCCCGCUGUUCUGACGGUACCCAAAGAAUAAGCACCGGCUAACUUCGUG
rnacentral:rRNA from 1 species